rnacentral:rRNA from 1 species
GAUGAACGCUAGCGGCAGGCCUAACACAUGCAAGUCGAGGGGCAGCACAGAAACAGCAUGUUUUGGUGGCGACCGGCGGACGGGUGCGUAACGCGUAUGCAACCUACCUUUAACAGGGGGAUAACGGAGAGAAAUUUCCACUAAUACCCCAUAACAUCGAUCAAGGCAUCUUGAUUGGUUGAAAACUCCGGUGGUUAAAGAUGGGCAUGCGUUGUAUUAGGUAGUUGGUGAGGUAAUGGCUCACCAAGCCUACGAUACAUAGGGGGACUGAGAGGUUAGCCCCCCACACUGGUACUGAGACACGGACCAGACUCCUACGGGAGGCAGCAGUGAGGAAUAUUGGUCAAUGGGGGCAACCCUGAACCAGCCAUGCCGCGUGCAGGAAGACGGCUCUAUGAGUUGUAAACUGCUUUUAAACAGGGAUAAAGCACAAUAUGUAUACUGUGUUGAAGGUACUGUAAGAAUAAGGAUCGGCUAACUCCGUGCCAGCAGCCGCAGUAA